UACGUAGGGGGCUAGCGUUGUCCGGAAUCAUUGGGCGUAAAGCGCGUGUAGGCGGUCCGGUAAGUCCGCUGUGAAAGUCGGGGGCUCAACCCUCGGAUGCCGGUGGAUACUGUCGGGCUUGAGUACGGAAGAGGCGAGUGGAAUUCCUGGUGUAGCGGUGAAAUGCGCAGAUAUCAGGAGGAACACCGGUGGCGAAGGCGGAUCUCUGGGCCUGUCCUGACGCUCAGGCGCGAAAGCGUGGGGAGCGAACAGG
rnacentral:rRNA from 1 species